rnacentral:rRNA from 1 species
CUGGUGUACCAGUUGUUCUGCCAAGGGCAUUGCUGGGUAGCUAUGUAGGGAAGGGAUAAACGCUGAAAGCAUCUAAGUGUGAAGCCCACCUCAAGAUGAGAUUUCCCAUUUCUUUAAGAAAGUAAGACCCCUGAGAGAUGAUCAGGUAGAUAGGUUGGAAGUGGAAGGCUAGUGAUAGUUGGAGCGGACCAAUACUAAUCGGUCGAGGACUUAACCAA